rnacentral:lncRNA from 1 species
GUAUAUGAUACAAAAGGUUGAAAACAUGAAUUUUUCGAGACAUUUUUAAUAUUAUUAUAGAUAGUUAAUUAUCUGAAGUGGAAUAGUUAUUAAAUCUGGAACCACACUUGUAAAGUCUUCAGAAGUUACAAUCCAACGAUAUUUUGAAAAGUCCGGAAAAAGAAUUGUUUGAAAGGUAACAUGUUAUUCUACUUGGUACAUAUAUGCAGAAUGUCAGAGUAAUUUAUAUUUCUUGUUGCCAUGCUUAUAUACAGUACAUAUACCAGUCUAUUUUUUCUUCAGUUUGAGGUGCAAGUUGAAGCAGGAAAAUGGUGUCAAGUGUCAAGGCCAGAGAAGCAGUACUGGAUAUUCCCUGGAAAAUUUGAGGUGCAAGUUGAAGCAGGAAAAUGGUGUCAAGUGUCAAGGCAAGCCACAGAAGCAGUACUGGAUAUUCCCUGUUAAAAUUUGAGGUGCAAGUUGAAGCAGGGAAAUGGUGUCAAGUGUCAAGGCAAGCCACAGAAGCAGUACUGGAUAUUCCCUGGAAAAGUAUGAAGAAUGUCUGAAAAAAAGUGACUGUGUUCAUUUUUAGUAUUUAAAGUGAAGAAAGAAUAUAAAAAUUUUAAUCAUUGGAAUUGAUACUUUUUGUGGGGGUGGGAAUCUGUGUCCUUUGUAGUUCAGUUUCUUCCCAUCAGUCCUAACCCCAUUUCAUCUUGACCCGGCCCAUCCCAUUCCUGAUCUGUAAUCCAGAUACGAAUGUACAAAUAAUAUAUAUCAUAUCUCAUUUAAAAUAUUAAUAUAGAGCAUGACCACAAAAUAAGCAGAGAGAUGUGUA